rnacentral:rRNA from 1 species
ACAUCCAGAGAACUUAGCAGAGAUGCUUUGGUGCCUUCGGGAACUCUGAGACAGGUGCUGCAUGGCUGUCGUCAGCUCGUGUUGUGAAAUGUUGGGUUAAGUCCCGNAACGAGCGCAACCCUUAUCCUUUGUUGCCAGCGGUUCGGCCGGGAACUCAAAGGAGACUGCCGGUGAUAAACCGGAGGAAGGUGGGGAUGACGUCAAGUCAUCAUGGCCCUUACGGCCAGGGCUACACACGUGCUACAAUGGCGCAUACAAAGAGAAGCGACCUCGCGAGAGCAAGCGGACCUCAUAAAGUGCGUCGUAGUCCGGAUUGGAGCCUGCAACUCGACUCCAUGAAGUCGGAAUCGCUAGUAAUCGUAGAUCAGAAUGCUACGGUGAAUACGUUCCCGGGCCUUGUACACACCGCCCGUCACACCAUGGGAGUGGGUUGCAAAAGAAGUAGGUAGCUUAACCUUCGGGAGGGCGCUUACCACUUUGUGAUUCAUGACUGGGGUGAAGUCGUAACAAGGUAAGCGUAGCGAG